rnacentral:snoRNA from 1 species
ACGCACAGUGAACACCCGUGGGUGCUCAUGUAGCUCAUCUUGGUCUUGAACUGUGCUACAAUAAAGUGUGGUCUAUACCUCUGCUGUAGAAGACGCUCCGUUCUUCCUACACGCAUUCAUGGGACCAGCACACUA